rnacentral:rRNA from 1 species
UACGAACGGUUCGAACGUUGUUCGGAUUCACUGGGCUUAAAGGGCGCGUAGGCGGACCACCAAGUCCGGGGUGAAAUCCUCCGGCUUAACCGGAGAAUUGCCUGGGAUACUGGUGGUCUUGAGGGAGGUAGGGGCACGCGGAACUUCCGGUGGAGCGGUGAAAUGCGUUGAUAUCGGAAGGAACGCCGGUGGCGAAAGCGGCGUGCUGGCCAUCUUCUGACGCUGAGGCGCGAAAGCCAGGGGAGCGAACGGG